AAGGUGGGGCGAAGUUGAGCCUGGAUUAGCAGGGCGGCAGGGAGGCUGCUAGAGCUGCGGGGCGGCCAGACGGGCCAGUGCGGAGAGGCAGGCGCACCAUGCCGCUGCAGGAUGUCACCCUCCGAGAGGUGUGGGCCUCGGACAGCGGACCUGAGGAGGAAGGCCGGCGGAGCCCAGAGGUCCGGCAGCGCCCCAGGCAGCGACCCGCCCGGGGACAGAAACUGAGGAAGAAGAGGAGCGAGGCCCCUGAGUCCCCCGACCCUGCGGGACCCGAGCCCCGGAGACCGGCGGUGGCCGGGCGGCCG